rfam:Solanum lycopersicum cultivar Heinz 1706 chromosome 8, whole genome shotgun sequence.
AUAUUCGUAGAAAGGUGAGAGGGUUGGCAUCUCCCUCGAAACGAAUGGGAACAACCUUCGGGCUUUUCCAAUUAUCAAACACAUCCGGUUAAGGCUACCCACUUCGGUGGAUGUUGCCCAAAUUUGUUU